rnacentral:rRNA from 1 species
UACGGAGGGUGCAAGCGUUGUCCGGAUUUAUUGGGUUUAAAGGGUGCGUAGGCGGCCCGGUAAGUCAGUGGUGAAAGCCUCCAGCUCAACUGGAGAACUGCCAUUGAUACUGCCGGGCUUGAGUACAGACGAGGUUGGCGGAAUUGACGGUGUAGCGGUGAAAUGCUUAGAUAUCGUCAAGAACACCUAUAGCGAAGGCAGCUUACUAGGCUGUAACUGACGCUGAGGCACGAAAGUGUGGGGAUCAAACAGG